GUUAACGGUGGUGCUAGUUAUGAUAAAUGAAUUAGUCGAUAGUAAGGACUAACCGAUAGUGGUUGAUGAUGGUGGUACUAUUGACGACGGUAAAUAUAAUUAGAAAAAUAAAGGCAGUAGGUGUGGUAGUAGUUGCCAAUAGUAGUUGGUAGAGAUAUUUAUUGUCGAUGGUGGUUGUGAUGGUGGAGGUGGUUAGUGGUGGUUGACAAUAAUGGCGGUGGCAGAGGUGGUGACUGAUGAUUAUGAGUAGAGUGUCGGUGAAUAUUAUCCAAUACCAGAAUACCU
rnacentral:lncRNA from 1 species